rnacentral:lncRNA from 1 species
UUUCAGAUAAAAAAUUAUAAUGCAUCUGAUUAUUUCCUUAGGAAAAAAAAUCUGGAAAGCAGAAUUAGUGAAUCAGAGGGUCUUUGGAAGGUUAUCCAGGUUCAAAGAAGAGAAGUCUGCUGACCAGGCACAUCUGGUGAACCCAGGACCAAAUUCUGUUCUCAGGCCACUCAGGCGUGCUUCCAGCCAGACUCUGCAGACUAUAGAGUUUUGCCAAUCUGAUGGAAAAAUAAUUGGUAUCUGUGGAAGUCAUUUGGUUUCCCCAAACAUUUCCAGUCAUCCCUCCUUCCAAGCAAAUGGUGGGAGGAGCUGCACUUCCUGGUCCCUCGUGGUUGUGUGAGUUCCGGUGCCGUGUACUGAGCAAUGAGUUGUGAAGAGAUGUGUGCCAUUUCCAGGCUGGAGUAAUUAAUCGCUGAUGCAAACACCUCCAUGGCUCUCUGGAAAAGAGACCUACAAUAUUCAGGAAGUGACCAGUGUGUAACUCUGGGAACAUAAGUGAGUAUGAUGAACAGAGCCUCCCACUUGACCUACAGUGGACAUUUAGUGUGAGUGAGAAGUAAAAUUUUGUUGGUAUAAGAUUCUUGGAUGUUGGUGUAACAAUAUAACAUAACCUAUCGUGGUGUAUAAAGUAUCUCAUUUUUGUUGUAAUUUGCAUUUUCCUGCUUACUUAGUGAGGCUAAAUAUCUUUUGAUAUUUUGUUUGCCAUUUUUUAUUCUUUCAUAAAAUACUCAUUUACUGGCUUUUGUCCAUUUUUCAAUUGGUUUCUUUAUCUUUCGCUUAAUGAUUUAUGAGUUCUUGAAACAUUUUAGAUUCUCAUCUUCUGUCGGUUUUGCUUCAAAUUUACACAAUUGAUGGUUUUUCUUUUUAUCCUGUAGUUCUUAAAAAAACUUUAUUUUGGAAAAUUUCAAACAUAUACAAAAGUAGAGAGAAUAGUAUAAUAACCCCCCAUGAAGCCAUAACCCAGCUUCAACAAUUGUUGACUCAUAACCAAUCUGGUUUCAUUUGUAAGUCCUACCUAUUCCCCUCACUUUUGGAUUAUUUUGAAGAAAAUGCCAGACAUCAUGUAAUUUCAUCUGUGUAUCUCUACAG